rnacentral:rRNA from 1 species
CAGUAGCCACGGUAAAACGAGGGGAGCUAGCGUUGUUCGGAAUUACUGGGCGUAAAGCGCGCGUAGGCGGCUUUUUAAGUCAGAGGUGAAAGCCCGGGGCUCAACCCCGGAAUUGCCUUUGAAACUGGAAAGCUAGAAUCUUGGAGAGGUCAGUGGAAUUCCGAGUGUAGAGGUGAAAUUCGUAGAUAUUCCGAAGAACACCAGUGGCGAAGGCGACUGACUGGACAAGUAUUGACGCUGAGGUGCGAAAGCGUGGGGAGCAAACAGGAUUAGAUACCCCAGUAGUCCCUGUCUCUUAUAC